rnacentral:rRNA from 1 species
GACGAACCGAGCGAACGUUGUUCGGAAUCACUGGGCUUAAAGGACGCGUAGGCGGCUUACCAAGUCAGGGGUGAAAUUUUGCGGCUUAACCGUAACAGUGCCUUUGAUACUGGUAGGCUCGAGGGGGACAGGGGUCCGCGGAACUUCUGGUGGAGCGGUGAAAUGCGUUGAUAUCAGAAGGAACGCCGGUGGCGAAAGCGGCGGACUGGAUCCUUUCUGACGCUGAGGCGCGAAAGCUAGGGGAGCAAACGGG